UACGAAGGGUGCAAGCGUUACUCGGAAUUACUGGGCGUAAAGCGUGCGUAGGUGGUGAGUUAAGUCUGUCGUGAAAGCCCCGGGCUCAACCUGGGAAUGGCGAUGGAUACUGGCUCGCUAGAGUGCGGUAGAGGAGAGUGGAAUUCCCGGUGUAGCAGUGAAAUGCGUAGAGAUCGGGAGGAACAUCAGUUGCGAAGGCGGCUCUCUGGACCAGCACUGACACUGAGGCACGAAGGCCAGGGGAGCAAACGGG
rnacentral:rRNA from 1 species